ensembl:misc_RNA Metazoa_SRP Metazoan signal recognition particle RNA
GCCGGGCGUGGUGACGGGCACCUGUAAUCCUAGCUACUUGGGAGGCUGAGGCAGAAGAAUCGCUUGAACCCGGGAGGCAGAGAUUGCAGUGAGCCAAGAUCAUGUCACUGCACUCCAGCCUGGGCAACAGAGCGAGACUCUGUCUCAA